rnacentral:rRNA from 1 species
AGAGUUUGAUCCUGGCUCAGGAUGAACGCUGGCGGCGUGCCUAAUACAUGCAAGUCGAGCGGUAAGGUUCUGCACUUACUAUUUGAUCGCGGUAACCUCGGUUACUAAAAUGGACCAACUGGACCCUGGCUAGGGAAAGGGAGGCGAGUGGAGAUGGAAUGAUAAGUGUAGAAUACACGAGCGGCGGACGGGUGAGUAACGCGUAGGAAUGUACCCAAAGUGAGGAAUAACUGCUCGAAAGAGUAGCUAAUGCCGCAUGUGCUCUAAGGAGUAAAGCUUCGGCGCUUUGGGAACAGCCUGCGUCUGAUUAGCUAGUUGGUGAGGUAAAGGCUCACCAAGGCGACGAUCAGUAGCUGGUUUGAGAGGAUGAUCAGCCACACUGGAACUGAGACACGGUCCAGACUCCUACGGGAGGCAGCAGUAGGGAAUUUUCCACAAUGGACGAAAGUCUGAUGGAGCAACGCCGCGUGCAGGAUGAAGGCCUUAGGGUCGUAAACUGCUUUUAUGUGCGAAGAAUUUGACGGUAACACAUGAAUAAGGAUCGGCUAACUCCGUGCCAGCAGCCGCGGUCAUACGGAGGAUCCAAGCGUUAUCCGGAAUUACUGGGCGUAAAGAGUUGCGUAGGUGGCUUGUUAAGCAAAUAGUGAAAUUGUGUGGCUCAACCAUACACCCAUUAUUUGAACUGGCAGGCUAGAGAGCGAGAGAGGUUACUAGAAUUCCUAGUGUAGGAGUGAAAUCCGUAGAUAUUAGGAGGAAUACCGAUGGCGUAGGCAGGUAACUGGCUCGUUUCUGACACUAAGGCACGAAAGCGUGGGGAGCAAACGGGAUUAGAUACCCCAGUAGUCC